rnacentral:tRNA from 1 species
GGGUCAUGGCGGAACCGGUAGACGCAUCGGACUUAAAAUCCGGUGAUGGAAACAUCGUGUGGGUUCAAGUCCCACUGGCCCC